rnacentral:rRNA from 1 species
AUGUGAACGAGGUGUGGGCAGUGUAGAAGCCGUCUGUGCCGGAGCAAACGCGAUAAGUUCACCGCCUGGGGAGUACGGUCGCAAGGCUAAAACCCAAAGGAAUUGACGGGGGCCCGCACAAGCAGCGGAGCGUGUGGUUUAAUUCGAUGCAACGCGAAGAACCUUACCUGGGCUUGACAUGUACGUAGUAGUGAAGGGAAACCGGAACGAGCCUUCGGGCAGCGUAGACAGGUGCUGCAUGGCUGUCGUCAGCUCGUGUCGUGAGAUGUUGGGUUAAGUCCCGCAACGAGCGCAACCCAUGUUGCUAGUUACAAGUGUCUAGCGAGACUGCCGGUAACAAGCCGGAGGAAGGUGCGGAUGAUGUCAAGUCAGCAUGGCCUAUAUGUCCAGGGCUACACACACGCUACAAUGGCUGGUACAAAGAGAAGCGAAAGGGAGACCUGAAGCGAAUCUCAUCAAAGCCAGUCAUAGUUCGGAUUGCAGGCUGCAACUCGCCUGCAUGAAGUCGGAGUUGCUAGUAACCGCAGGUCAGCAAUACUGCGGUGAAUACGUUCCCGGGCCUUGUACACAC